rnacentral:misc_RNA from 1 species
AAUAUAUGGAGGCAAUAUUUACAACCAACAACACACUCUAAAACAGAAAUUAACCACAUGAAUGGUGUUUAUUACAACUCCAAUUCAUAUCCACGUAAUUGGAAUUGACAUAAAAAUAAAUAAAUAAACCCUAAAUGAUAGGUAUUAGCAAUCGCAGAAUGCCAAUCGAUUUAAAAUCUUUAAAUACUUCUUUUUAAUUACACAUGCAUACUUACAAGGUCCACAUCCGACUCCACUGCUAUGGACAAAGACGAGAACCAGGGGGGCAAAUCAA